UCAGGAUGAACGCUGGCGGCGUGCCUAAUACAUGCAAGUCGAGCGAACAGACGAGGAGCUUGCUCCUCUGACGUUAGCGGCGGACGGGUGAGUAACACGUGGAUAACCUACCUAUAAGACUGGGAUAACUUCGGGAAACCGGAGCUAAUACCGGAUAACAUGUUGAACCGCAUGGUUCAACAGUGAAAGACGGUCUUGCUGUCACUUAUAGAUGGAUCCGCGCCGCAUUAGCUAGUUGGUAAGGUAACGGCUUACCAAGGCAACGAUGCGUAGCCGACCUGAGAGGGUGAUCGGCCACACUGGAACUGAGACACGGUCCAGACUCCUACGGGAGGCAGCAGUAGGGAAUCUUCCGCAAUGGGCGAAAGCCUGACGGAGCAACGCCGCGUGAGUGAAGAAGGUCUUCGGAUCGUAAAACUCUGUUAUUAGGGAAGAACAAAUGUGUAAGUAACUAUGCACGUCUUGACGGUACCUAAUCAGAAAGCCACGGCUAACUACGUGCCAGCAGCCGCGGUAAUACGUAGGUGGCAAGCGUUAUCCGGAAUUAUUGGGCGUAAAGCGCGCGUAGGCGGUUUUUUAAGUCUGAUGUGAAAGCCCACGGCUCAACCGUGGAGGGUCAUUGGAAACUGGAAAACUUGAGUGCAGAAGAGGAAAGUGGAAUUCCAUGUGUAGCGGUGAAAUGCGCAGAGAUAUGGAGGAACACCAGUGGCGAAGGCGACUUUCUGGUCUGUAACUGACGCUGAUGUGCGAAAGCGUGGGGAUCAAACAGGAUUAGAUACCCUGGUAGUCCACGCCGUAAACGAUGAGUGCUAAGUGUUAGGGGGUUUCCGCCCCUUAGUGCUGCAGCUAACGC
rnacentral:rRNA from 1 species